rnacentral:rRNA from 1 species
AGUGAACGCUGGCGGUAGGCCUAACACAUGCAAGUCGAACGGCAGCACAGUAAGAGCUUGCUCUUACGGGUGGCGAGUGGCGGACGGGUGAGGAAUACAUCGGAAUCUACUUUUUCGUGGGGGAUAACGUAGGGAAACUUACGCUAAUACCGCAUACGACCUACGGGUGAAAGCAGGGGAUCUUCGGACCUUGCGCGAUUGAAUGAGCCGAUGUCGGAUUAGCUAGUUGGCGGGGUAAAGGCCCACCAAGGCGACGAUCCGUAGCUGGUCUGAGAGGAUAAUCAGCCACACUGGAACUGAGCCACGGUCCAGACUCCUACGGGAGGCAGCAGUGGGGAAUAUUGGACAAUGGGCGCAAGCCUGAUCCAGCCAUACCGCGUGGGUGAAGAAGGCCUUCGGGUUGUAAAGCCCUUUUGUUGGGAAAGAAAAGCAGCAGGUUAAUACCCCGCUGUUCUGACGGUACCCAAAGAAUAAGCACCGGCUAACUUCGUG